GACCGCAUGGCCUACAUGGAUGGUGGCAGUGCUGACUUCGAAUCAGACAGAUUGAGGGUUCGAGUCCCUCUGUGGUCU
rnacentral:tRNA from 1 species